UACGAAGGGGGCUAGCGUUGCUCGGAAUUACUGGGCGUAAAGGGCUCGUAGGCGGCCAACUAAGUCAGACGUGAAAUCCCUCGGCUUAACCGGGGAACUGCGUCUGAUACUGGAUGGCUUGAAUCCGGGAGAGGGAUGCGGAAUUCCAGGUGUAGCGGUGAAAUGCGUAGAUAUCUGGAGGAACACCGGUGGCGAAGGCGGCAUCCUGGACCGGCAUUGACGCUGAGGAGCGAAAGCCAGGGGAGCAAACGGG
rnacentral:rRNA from 1 species